CAGGAGCCCAUUCACCAACUCUGAUGUGGUAGCUGGGAGUCUGUUUUUGGGAAAAUUUCAGCCUGUUAGAAAGAUUGUCCACAUUUCUGAGAGGACACUGGUGAUCAUCGAUCCCUUGGAUAACGAGGACAAAAAUGAGCAAAAUCUUGCGGAAUUGGAGGAACUUUUUGAGGUUGGCGGUCCGUGAGUUCCAAAUAAAAACUUGGACUACCAAAACUGUAGCCCAUAACAAGCAACAGGACAACAGUAGCUGUGGGGUUUUCGUAUUAGAGUUUGCCGAAGAGUAUAUGGCCAACAGAGAUCUUAGGCACAACCAGACCCACCCUCCCGAAG